AGUCCAAGGAAGCAUACCGUGAAAUUCAUUUGCUCCCAGCCUUUCUGGGAACUCUUCUGGAAUGUCUGCUUAUUGCACAGACAAGAAGGAGGAGGAGGAGUAGGAGACAAGAGAGUGUGUAUCUGAAAGAGAAGAAACAAGGUGUCCCUUCUGUGAGGGCACUCACUCUCCAAAGAAAAACACUGUAUUACAAGGUGCCCUCUGGAUUGGAGAGAAGAAACACCCAGUCUCAAGGUAAGCCGAACCCUGUCCCCAGAGCCGUCCCUGCAGGGAGCUUAUUUACCUUGGCUUUUCUAUUUUCUGACUCAUGGUUGUACUUAAACUCUCUUCUCUCUGGCUAUGUGUCUUUUAAUACACUUUUUUUUAUAUCCCAAAUGUGGCUUUAGAACUGACCUGUACCCU
rnacentral:lncRNA from 1 species